rnacentral:tRNA from 1 species
AGCUCAUUUGGAAAAAGCAGAGACUGAAAU